CCGGGCCUGAGGCCGCGGGGCGGGGGCAGGCCCGGCCCAGUCCCGCCGGGAUCGCCCUGGGCCGGCUCCGCCAGCGGGAGCGACGCCACCCGCACUACCGGAGGGGACGGAGCUGGCAGAGAGAUGACAUUCCUGCCUGGAACAGAUACAGCUGCAGUGUGAAUGGAGAGCUAUCCUCAUAUGGCUGGGAGCACGCAAUGCUGAUGGGCGAGUUAAGUGUCCUCAGCCACCCCUUCUCUCCUGCAGUAAAUUCACCGCGUGGGCACAGGCUCCUGGAAUACAAAUCUGCCGCUGCUGCUCACAGCUGUGCUGCUGUCACUGUGCUGAUACAGUUUUGAGUGCUAGAACACACGCCUUAAACUGCUAGAAAACUCCUGGUGAGUCAGAGCCCUGUUGCACCCCAUGCAGUAUCACUGCAGGGUGGUUUAUGACAGAAAGCAAAGAUCUCUGUGCUCUGUAGAAAUGAUGCUGACAGUCUGGUAAAUAUAAUAAAACUUUCACCAGACAAAAGGAGUUAUGUGGUGACAAAUGUCAUCAGCUACCGUAUGCUACACCACUAAAAUGUUACCUCCCUUUGCUGUCCUGCUCAGUUUGCUCUUCCAUGCUCUUGUAAGCAUAAAUCAUUACAUUUAGCAAGAUGUCAUACCUGCUCUUUUAAAAAAUGCUUUCUGUGUGGUGACAUCACACUUUGUACUAGAGGUGUUUGCAUUGCUGAAAAUUUGAAAAAGCAAAUGAAAAUACUAAUAAAAUGUUGUCUGAAAUGUUUAAAAUGUAAUUUUUCUUUAAGAUUUGAGGUCCCACUGAAUAAUUAUGUAACAAUGCUUAAAUGCAGUCUUUUCUUAGUCUUUCAUUAGGCAUAAUGAAUAUAAUGUAAAGUCACAUCAAAAGACAAAAAACACACCACCGUGAAACGAAACCCUUGUGAGUCCUGUCAUUCUUAGGAAAUCAUGUUUGGCAGAAACUUAUUUCUUUUAAGUUUCAUUACAAAGUAAAAAAAAAAAAAAAAGUAAACAUGUAUCUCCUUAUGCCUGAAGGUCUGAAGGUCAACUUCCAUGUCUCAGUGUCUUUUAAGAGCGUUAGGCCAAGUUCCAAGAGGGAUUCACUCUCUACUAGAACUCCAAUCCCCUCAAGAGCAUUAGGCUUAGUGCCAGCAUUCAUUUACUCUUGGAACAGCUUAAAUUAACUCCUGUUACAUUCUGUCUAAACCCUUUCUUACAGAGUAAGAGUUGAGAGCUGGAUUCAGUCGGUUAGUCUGAAGGCCACCCAUCAUGCUUGUCUGUCUUCCCAGACUUAAAAUGCUGCAUAAACUGGAUUGGGGAAGGCAGUGAUCAGCUGUUUCUAAGUUGAGGGGGAAAGCUGGCAAGCAUCUUUUGUAUACAUGUCCCCAUUUCACGAGAAAUAGCGUGGGGGUUGGUCUGACUUAUUUAACAUAAGUAGAUAUGACAGUAAGCUCCAUCCAAAUGUGAGAUUUCAGUAGGCUGUACAGUGUGCUAACUGUAUUUUGAUACUUUCCUGGCAGAGCUGAACAGACAAGCUAAUCAAAAGACAACAAAUAUCACUGCUUGGCUUUAUAAGUCAAGAACUGGAUUGUAAGAUUAUAUUUUGCCCAAUGUCAGACAGAAGAUUGAAAUGGAAGGUCUCACAAAGCCAGACCUUUAGCCUAUUCAAACUUACAUGCUCUCUUAAGAAUAUCAUUUCUGUUUUACUUUAGCAAACAUGAGAACAGUUUAUUUGCCUAUGAGUAUAAGGCAAACACUCUGAAGCAGGUAAGGAUGUAAGCACAAGGAAGACAAGUCUUCCGAAAAGUGAUAACGAAGUGUUCUUAGCACACUUAGAAAAGUACAGGGUGAUUGGCAGAACUGGACAGUCAUUAACGUUGGCCAGGUGAUACCUUGGUCUCUGUCCAGAGGCUCAAAAGUCCUGUACCAAUGUCUUUGUGGUGAAGGCUGGAACUUGACUUCAGGGAUUUCCAAAGCUGCUUUGUAUGACUGUUAUUCAUAGAAUAGUUGGAACCUUUCAAGGUCAUCUAGUCCACCUUCCUCCAAUGAGCAGAAACAUCUUCAGCUAGGUCAGGUUGCUCAGAGCCCUGUUCAACCUAUUUUCAUAAUUUCUAUCCAUCCUUCCUCCACAAGAAAAAAAGAAAGCAAAACCAAAGAACAGAGGAGAGAUUACUUUCAAGGAAUCUGAAUUGCCUUCCUCCAAUGAAAAUAUUUUAAGCUGUUAGUUUACAAAAGUCCAGUUGUUUUGUAUGCUUUGGAGAUGAUGGAAAUGGAACUAAUUACUAGACAGUCAACAUACAUCCACUAGUAGAUCUGAAAAUAAAUGUGAGCAUUUUGUGGCUAAAUAACACUAUUCAGCUCAUAAAUAAGAGUUCACAGCAAUCUUUGCAGUUAGGAGUUACACUAUAAAUAUAGCUUAUCUUCAAAUAUUUUCAACUUGCUAAAGUUACUUGAAAGCUUAUCAUGAUAGAGUCCAUUUAAAAGGAAAAGAAUUAAAAUUUAUCUAAGAUAUGUGUCCCCAAAUACCUCUCAUAGCAUUCAUUUAUACUGACCUCUCUAACACACUGUCUUCCCACACUCUUUGUAUGUAGUUAGCUGAAAAACAUUGCUGGUGUAUGUAACAAGUUCCCUCAAGCUUCAGAAUUACUUUUUUAAAGUGAAGUUGAAAAUCAGAGAAAAAAAGUUGAAAACAAAAUUCUUACUUAAAAAAAAUUAAUUUGAGAAUAGAAAAUAACAGUAAUGAAAUUGGAAAGAUUUUAAAAUGCAGUUUCUAAGUUGGCAGUGACCUUUUUGUGAUAAAUAUUUGAUUUAUUAAAGAAAUGGUACACAGACUGUUUAAAAGCUAAUGUGAAUACAAAAGGCAGAUCAAAACUGUAACUUUUUUGUGAAGGAAUAUCCAUUUUUUGAAUUUGAAAAGUUUAUUUGCUAUUACUUUCCAAGUAAGGCUAUAGGUCUCAGUUCUUUGACAAGUUCCAUAUAUUUUACCUAAUUUUAAGUAUUUUGAAAACUUCUGUGGUCUGAAGCAAGACUACUUUGACUGCACAAAAUUAAUUGUAUAUAUAAAUCUUUGAAGAUUGGAGACUUUCUUGCAAUUAGAUGAGAACUGUAGUUCAACUGCUGUUUUAUCUUCUAAUGAUAAGAUCCCAUGGCACUUUUGCAAUAAUAAUAGAGGUCCCAUGAAAAUAUUUUAAGUAAUGGAAUUACAUUACGUGUUUUAGUGGUUAUAUUUUCCUCAUGUUUUCAGCUGAAUAAGUUAUCCUUCAUUUUUCUUCCCUUGCAAACAUUCUUCUGCAAUGCUGCUAGCACUGAUUAAAAAGAGAGACCUAUAUCUAACUGAAAUCCUGUCAUUUUGACCUUUAAUCUGUAUUUUUAUAUACAUACAAAAAUAUAUGCACAUUUAUAUAUGUAUUUUGCCUAUAAUAUAUUAAUCAUAGGAUUUCCUGAAAUCUUAUUACCAGUGCUUCCUAUGUAAAUAUAGAAUUGUGUUGCUGGGACUUUGCUCUAUUUCAGGGAGUCUUUAUUCUCUUUUCUUUCAUUCUCUGAAAUCAAUGUGAGCAUUGCAAUCAAUUUUAAUUAUACCAGUAUUUCACCCUGAGUUUUACAGGAAGAGUUGGCAGCAAUAACUAUAGUUAAGAUUGCUUAAGUCUUUCUGCUGUAUAGAUUCUGUACUUAAAAAGAGAGAGGGAUAGAAACUAUAUAUAAGGGUACAAUAAAACAUGUCAAGAUUAGCAAAGUUAAUUUUAUCUGUGUUACCUGAAAAACCAGAAGGAUUUAUUAGGGGCUCUGACUUUAUGUUUUUAAAUGCAAUGUUACUGAGACUGAUAUAAUUUAAAAUAACUAUUAUUAUGUAGUUCAAAAAAUACUAUAAAGAUGGCAAGGCAUUACUUCACAGUAUUACCAAAGAAACAAUUAUAGAAUUAUCAGUAUUGUAACCUGUAAAAUAUUUUUAAAAUAUGUGUUUUCUGGAAAUGUUGAAGUAGAAGCAGCAUAUAUAUUUAUUUCUUGUUUCUUUUCGCAGACCACAGUCUAAAGCAACUAUUAAUAACAUCUUGCACUGCUACUGUGAUUUAUUAAUGAAAGUUACUUUAAUUAUCACAUCCUUAAUGCUACUGAAAAUGGUGAAGUAUAUAUAAUUAUUUCUGUUAAAAAGAAAGGAAUAAUAAAACUCUAAAUUACU